CCGCCUCUGAGUUCCUAAUUUCCCAUUGGGCAUCAGUGACCACCUUCAAUUGGCAAGGUCAACUAUCCAUCAAACACCGCCCACUGAGUAAGACCCAACCCUUCAGUACCAUUUACUUCAUUCAGCACCGCCUCUGCCAUACCUCCCGGACGUAAGGGACCAACCCACCGUACCAGUCAUAAGUAGAGACCGACGUCAAUCAAAUAACGCCCACCUGCGCUCCUCCUCGCAAAGCACGAACUCUAGAGAUUCUCUUUUCUUAUUGGUCCAAAGGGUGGCCCGAGCCCUCAGUCAUUGGCUUCCUCUACCUGUCUGUCACUGAAGCAAUUUCCAAGUCCGUCACACCGGCUUUUUUUAAAUGAACGCGCAAAAGGCGGGGAAGUUUGUAUCCGAAAAGUGAUUGGCUAGUCUUCGAAACGGUCAAACCCAGGGCGUCUGUGCGGAUCUUUCUCGUUCUGCGAGGACCGUGACCCUUUAUUUUUGACCUCUAAGCCUGGCGUCAAACAAGCGCCAUAAAGGAGCCAACGGGCUGUCCAGUUAUAGGUGUGGGGGCCUAGUCCCACCCGGAAUUGCAGGGGGUUGGCUGCUGAAUGGCUAACAAAGUCCUGGUAGUCCUUCUAUUGGAGGAUAUAAACGCCUCUCUUCUGCACGGAGACGGGAAAGGAUGGCGCAGGCGAGGACAAGAAGCGGUCUGGGGAGAGGCGGUUGUUUUGCUUCAGCCUGAGGGUGGGGCGCACGCGGGAGAGGGAAACUCGGAGGGCAGGGCUCUGGGGGAGGUGUUGUGGGGAGGGGAAAAACCCGGAUGUUCUCUAACAAUGAAAUCAUCGCCGACCAAUCAGAGCUGCUGCGCGGGAUACCUGCUUGACCUGUCCCCAGAAGCGACGAGAAUGAGAAGAAGGGAGUCUGGAAUCCCAGCUUCCAAAAUAGGAAGCUAAAGAUCAUAAAAGUGGAGACAUCUGGAGAUACUUGUUUUGAGAAUCCAAGCAACCUCAGAAGGAUGAAAAUAAACUCAAGCAGAGACAAAACCAAGAAGACUUUGCAGACACCAGUAGGUCUUCAAUGCACCCAGCUGUCUCUUCCCCAAGCUGUUAAAGACCUUAGGCUCUGAGACACUAGGGCUUUACAGCUUUCUAACUUCCAUUAAAAUCAAGUGGAUUCAAUGCCAUGAAAAGUACUUUAACUGAAGUUUAUCCUUAAUGCCACAUAACUCUCACCUCUUGCAUUAGUCAG
rnacentral:lncRNA from 1 species